UCUCCGUUGGUGAACCAGCGGAGGGAUCAUUACCGAGUGCAAACUCAUAACCCUUUGUGAACCUAUAUCUGUUGCUUCGGCGGCUCGCUCUCGGGCGAGCCCGCCGGUAAUAUCAGUAUCUCUGUUUGAACCCGACGAUACUUCUGAGUGUUCUUAGCGAACAGUUAAAACUUUUAACAAUGGAUCUCUUGGCUCUA
rnacentral:misc_RNA from 1 species